rnacentral:rRNA from 1 species
GUCUACAACUAUGCCGAACAAGCCUGAUCCCAUUGAUCCCGUCUGAUCCCAUCUGAUCUCAGAAGCUAAGCAGGGUUGGGCCUGGUUAGUACUUGGAUGGGAGACCACCUAGGAAGACCAGGUGCUGUAGGCA